GACGAACGCUGGCGGCGUGCCUAAUACAUGCAAGUCGAGCGAAUCUGAGGGAGCUUGCUCCCAACGAUUAGCGGCGGACGGGUGAGUAACACGUGGGCAACCUGCCCCUAAGAUUGGGAUAACUCCGGGAAACCGGUGCUAAUACCGAAUAGUUUCUCGUACCACAUGGUACGAGAGGGAAAGUUGGCUUUUAGCUAACACUUAGGGAUGGGCCCGCGGCGCAUUAGCUAGUUGGUGAGGUAACGGCUCACCAAGGCAACGAUGCGUAGCCGACCUGAGAGGGUGAUCGGCCACACUGGGACUGAGACACGGCCCAGGACUCCUACGGGAGGCAG
rnacentral:rRNA from 1 species